CUCACAUAUGGAUUUCAAAAUCUAAUUCAAAGCUUUAGAAGGUUAAGGAUUACAGUUGUACAAGAAUCCCAAAACACCAAAUAUAUCUCUUUUACCUCUAUUUCAUCUUCCACUCAAGUUUUUCCAACCACGUAUACUUAAACCUCUUGUUUUACAUGUUAAAUUUAGUAUAAAAUCCCUUGAUUUAAAUCCAACCUCUACCCAAACGGAGCCUUAGCUAACCAAUUGAGGAUUACUAAUCUAGGGUUCUUCAGUAUUCUAAAAGACGGCCUAGGCGGCCGAUUAAUCGGCGCCUAGGCACUAGGAGGUACCCCACCGCCGCGCCUAGGGUCCUAGGCGGUUGUCUAGGCGCCGGGCCGAUUAAUCGGUCACUAAGCACGAUUAAUCGGCUAAGCGGGCUAGGCACUAGGCGGAUUAGGUAGUUCUAGGUGGACGAUUAGGCAGCUCGGCGGUGUAAUUUUUUAAAAUUAAGGACUAGGCGUUAGGCGGGCUAGGCAGCUAGGCAAACAAUUAGGUGGCUCGGCGGUGUAGUUUUUGAUUGCAGUGCCAUAUUUAAUGUUUUGUUUUACUUAUGUUGUUAUAUUUGCUCUCAAAACUUAGGGAGGGGGUAGGAGAAUAUUUUAAAAAUUAAAUAAAUAGAAAAUCCGCCUAAUGUCUAGGCGCCGAUUAAUUGGCCUAGGCGCUAGGUGAGUAGGCGGUGCCCAGCCGCCUGACUACCGCCUAGCGACUAUUAGAACACUGGGGUUCUUUGCUUCAGCAAAUUUUUUCAAUUUUUCCCUUAAUUUCGUCAUAUUCUGUUUGAAUGCCACAAUUUUAUCAGAACCCAAAUAAACCCAACGUUGAAUAAGCAAUUAAAUUUUCUGGGCAAAGGGAAUGGACACCAUACGUACACACACACACGUACAUACAACUAUAGAGAUGGAAAAUGUAUGUACCUUGAAGGGUGGGAUUACCAACCACCUAUACUUAAACCUCCUAUUUUACAAGUUAAAUUGAAUAUCUAAUGAGAGUGAGUUAUGUCCAGAUGAGGCGGACACCGUGGGGUUUCCGCCACCGCUAUUUGUGGGCCCUGUCGUGCGUUCAUUGAGGUAAUCCGAAUCGUUCAUCUUGUACAGCUCGCAAAAUAGUGUAUUCAAACAAAAAAUCAACUUUAUCAAACAUUCAUAUGUAUAUUAAAAUUUGGAUUUUGGUUUACAAAAUGUAGGGCCUGGAUUCUGUCUAUAGUUUUUAAGUUAAAAUAUGCAUGACCAUCCGUUUUAUAAACCAAAAUUCAAUUUUUGAUAUACCUAUGAAUGUCCAAUAAAGUUGAUUUUUUGUUUGAAUACACUAUUUUGCAAGCUCUACAAGAUGAACGGUUCAGAUUACUGCAAUUAACACAUGGUGGGGCCCAUAAUGGGAGGCGAAAACCCCAUGGUUUCCACCUCAUCCGGAAAUAAUUUUUUCUCAUAUCGAUCCCUUUAUUUAAAAUCCAGCCUCUAUGACUCUAUCAAAACAGAGCCUUAAUUAACCAAUUAAGGAUUAGUUUUUUUUUUGUCAAAAGUGAAAAGAUUGUAUUGAUAAACGCCUAGCGGCACUUACAAAACUGAAAUCAUUACAAAGAACUUGGGCGAAGCCAAACUAAUCAUCUAACAAAUACAAAAUAAGUAAAUCACAAGACAAUCAAUGUCUUCCAUUCUAACUCAGGCAUGGUCUGACACAAUAGCAACACUUUUAGCUGCCUAACAUCUAAUUAGGAGUCUUAUAUCAGAAAAAGUGCAAAGUUAAGGGCAAAAGACACCAAAUGCCCAGACGAUCCAACCAAGUAUAAAGAACGCACCAAUGAACUCCUAAGAACUACAGAUCUUUAGCAGGGUUAGUCGCUUUAGCAAAGUUUCAGGUUCAACUUUUUGUUAGUUUCUUUGAGUUCUUGCAUGCCACCAUUUUCUCAAAACCCAAACAAAUCUAAGGAUAAGCAAUUAAAUUUUCCCAGAAAAUGAGAACAAAGACACAUUUUUUUUUAACAAGAGCAUCUCCGGCCCUUAAACGACAACAUUAAACGAGACCGAACAAUAAAGAGAACCUAUACCUCUCUAAACGCCAAAAAAUAUCCAACUUGUUAACAAAUUGAUCAAACUUUUUUUUUUUUUCAUAACUCAAGUGCGCGGUCAGCUUAUGCGCACCUCGACUAAGGCCUUGUUUCACUAACCUUUUAGGACUUCUAGAAAAAGUGCACGUUUUGUCCUUGUUAAAAAAAAUUCACAUUUGUUAGUUUUGCACCAAACUUUUGUGGAUUAUUGAUUUGUCUCGACGAGACGGAUACACAUACAAAAUAUCCACGAUUACUCUCUCACCACACACACACACGCACAGAGAGAGAGAGAGAGAGAGAGAGAGAGAUUAAACAAACUAGAAAGAAAGAAGCUCUUAAUUUUAAUCAAGGCCGUCUCGUCCCAUCAAAAUAUCUAGUUGUUGUAUUCCUCUCUCGCCAAAAACACAUAAAGCAAUAAUGGGUGGAAAUUUGGUGUACCUUGAAAGUGGGCGUGGGAUUUCCAAGAGGGUCCUGAGGGGAGGAAAGGUCGAGCUCAUCGGCACAGAAUUUGGACCAGAGGGACUCGUCGGCGGCCCAAUCACGGAACUUCUUGUUUAAGCAGCCGGCCGCGGCCGUGUCGGUGGGACCCAGUUUUGAUAGAAUCUCGUGGAUCGCAAGAGCUCCUACGCUGUCCAAACCCAUCCCACUCUCUCUCUCUCUCCCUCUCUCUAGUUUGGGAUUU